rnacentral:rRNA from 1 species
UGGGGAAUAUUGGACAAUGGGCGCAAGCCUGAUCCAGCCAUGCCGCGUGGAUGAUGAAGGCCUUAGGGUUGUAAAGUCCUUUUAACGGGGAAGAUAAUGACGGUACCCGUAGAAUAAGCCCCGGCUAACUUCGUGCCAGCAGCCGCGGUAAUACGAAGGGGGCUAGCGUUGCUCGGAAUUACUGGGCGUAAAGCGCACGUAGGCGGCUCUUUAAGUCGGGGGUGAAAUCCUGGAGCUCAACUCCAGAACUGCCUUCGAUACUGAAGAGCUCGAGUCCGGGAGAGGUGAGUGGAACUGCGAGUGUAGAGGUGAAAUUCGUAGAUAUUCGCAAGAACACCAGUGGCGAAGGCGGCUCACUGGCCCGGUACUGACGCUGAGGUGCGAAAGCGUGGGGAGCAAACAGGAUUAGAUACC